rnacentral:rRNA from 1 species
CAGUAGCCGCGGGAAUACGGAGGGUGCAAGCGUUAUCCGGAUUUAUUGGGUUUAAAGGGUCCGUAGGCGGACUUAUAAGUCAGUGGUGAAAGCCUGUCGCUUAACGAUAGAACUGCCAUUGAUACUGUAAGUCUUGAGUAUAUUUGAGGUAGCUGGAAUAAGUAGUGUAGCGGUGAAAUGCAUAGAUAUUACUUAGAACACCAAUUUCGAAGGCAGGUUACCAAGAUAUAACUGACGCUGAGGGACGAAAGCGUGGGUAGCGAACAGGAUUAGAUACCCCUGUAGUCCCUGUCUCUUAUAC